AACGGGUGAGUAACACGUGAGUAACCUGCCCCUUACUUUCCUGGAUAACUGCUCGAAAGGGUAGCUAAUACGGGAUAUUCUGGCCUUCCUGCAUGGGUUGGUUUGGAAAGGUUGUUUUUCUGGUAAGGGAUGGGCUCGCGGCCUAUCAGCUUGUUGGUGGGGUGAUGGCCUACCAAGGCUUUGACGGGUAGCCGGCCUGAGAGGGUGGACGGUCACACUGGGACUGAGAUACGGCCCAGACUCC
rnacentral:rRNA from 1 species